rnacentral:misc_RNA from 1 species
AACACCAGAUAUUCUCUAUUAAAUUAAAAAGUCAAAAUCAUCUAUGAAGUGCUCUUCGCGCGAGACACAGACAUCGACAAGCUCUUUGGAAAUGCCGAGAACCAAAGUAUAUGUUGGAGGUCUCGUGGAUGAUGUGGGGAACGACCGGCUUCAUAGAACGUUUGAAAAAUUUGGAAAAAUCAAGAAAGUUUGGGUCGCUCGGAAUCCUGGUUCAAGAGGUUAUGCUUUUAUUGACUUUUACGAUCCUGAACAUGCCCUUAAUGCCUCCGUAGAAAUGAAUGGAAAACAUCUGUUUGGUUCAAAUUUAAAGGUUGAAUUGUCUAACAACGGUAUUGGGGACUUCAACAUAUCAGAGAGACAUCGGAGUGACCGUCACCAUGACGAUCGAAGGGCUGUCCGGGACUAUGAUGACCGGAGAGGCGAUCGGGACCGAGACAGACGACGGGUUGAUCGAGACCAUGAUUACCGAUCUAGAAGGUCUCCUCCCUCGUAUUACAAGAGUAGGUCGACUGACGAAGAUGAUGACGACAGUCGGCUUCUCAGUCACGUAGAUCCGACAGCACUACCACGAACCAUUAACGUACUAAAACAGCUAGAGAGAGUGACUCGGCUGAGACUUGAACGAGAACUAUUAGAAAAAUUUCGUCGUUCUUCUGAAGUACUAUCAGAUAUUGACACAAAAGACAAACUGUGCUAUCUCUCACGAGAUUUUGAGGAAAGUAAACACAUUCCUUAUUCUUCUCGCAAGAGAGAACCAGUGAAUGGUGAUCCGCUGCUGACAUCAACCGAUCCCGUCUUCCGAGAUCAUCAUAUUCCGCCUCUGGAAAAUGAGAGACCAAUACUGAUUGACCCAAAGCCAGAUACAUUCUACACACAGUUUUCAAAUAACCCAAGAGGACAUUCCCGGUCUCUUUUACCAACGCCUGACUAUCCAAAGUUAAAGAACUCCGAAAAUUAUCCGUCAUUCCAUGGAAAUCCACACAUUCCCCCAUGGCAUAACCCUAAUGAAUACAUCAGAACACCAAUGUAUAGACGACCUCGGCCUUAUGGCCAUGUGCGAAAGUACAAUGGUGAUUACCACAAUGACUGGUAUGGCAAGCAAUAUAGCGGCUUUGGAUUUUUACCCAACUCUACUCGAUCAUCGGCGAAUAAAGAGCCCAAUACUCCCCACUUCAAGUUGGUACCUCCCGAAGCACCACCCGCCAAGGAACCCGAGUCAAGUGAUAUCGUCAAUACUUCGUAGACAGAUUCUCUACAGAGGUGAAUCCAUCCCUUUACUCUUCAGAGACAGUGACAGAACCAAGCGUAAUGGGCUUUUUUCCCUGAGGACCAAGAACUCCUCGGAAGAGACUUCAGAUUUGGAAGGUCUGAAUGUGAAACAACCAGGCAUGCGUCCUACAAUCACAGAUCAACACCCGCCAUAUGGUGUCCACAACACUGGUAUACUCUACCACAGACAACAAUACACACAGCUGUAAAUAACCAUCAACAAUGAAUACACGGGGAAAAAUCGAACAUUAUUACGUUCAGACAACAACAAAAGCAAGGAUGAUCGAAACAACAAAGAUCUUCCCACAGAUAAAAGCAGUGAGAUAGACACUAGUGCAAAAUGACCCAGUGUUCACAACCGGUAAUGCAUGAACAGUUCAUUAUAUUUCAAAUCAAUUUUAUUGAAGCAAAUACACAAAAGGAUUGGACAAAGAAAUUACCAUCAAAGCCAUUUCCGUAAGGAAAACAUACAUUUCGAACAUGCAUGUAUAUGAGAUACUUGUCCACGUACAUAGAGUAAGUCCAAAAUCAGUUAGCUCGGAUAUUAUACAUACACAAAUAUAUUAAUAGUUGGAUCACAGAGACUAACAUAUAUGCUCUAGCGUCUAGUUAGAGGCUCAUUAAAGUCACUGUCACUACACAUAGUGACAUUCUAACCUAUUACACUAGAAUUACAUAAACUGAAUGAUAAAUAAGGUGAUUUGAUGUACCGUACAUGUUAAAAUCUUCCAGAUUUCGUUUCAAUUUAUUCAAGGCCGCAAGAAAAAGUAAAUUGAUUUGCUUCAAUGCCAAGAUUCAUAUCUCCUUUAGUGAGAGUAUUAGAGUCUAGGAUGGUGAAAUAAACAGUUAAGGAAGAGGUGACUUGCAUCUUUAAUGACAUUACCACAAUUACAAUUAGGGUUAUCAGUAAAAUGAUCCUUAUAUUGAUCCGAAGUAUCUCAUAAAUACACUGAAGAUUACCACGCCUGUUUAGGUAUCAAAGUCAACUCCUUUAUACAUUGAGCUAUGACUGGUAUCUCUUCUCAAAUCUGAUAUAAUUUUUUACAUUCUAAUCACACUGAUUUUAGUAUAUCACUUUCACAUUGUCCGCAGUCAUUACAGUCGAGUUAUGAAUAAAUUCAAGAGACUUUCUAUCUUAACUGUGUUUGAGCAAUCGUAUUAUUUGUCGUUUUGUACAACCCUUUUCAAACAUAUAAUUACAUUUUAUAUGAUAUUAUCGUGAUGAUCCACAGCUAUUCAAAAACAAAUCAACAUGCUUAAGAUUUGGAAUUUUAAAUUUUAAAUUUAUAACAACAAUAUAAGAGGAUGACAAAUUGGGGUGAGCAGUCUCAGAAUUAGUUUUGUUGUAUAAUACGAAUGAUUCAGUUUUAUUUGGGUUAAAUCUUAUAUCUAUUUACCUUGCAAAGUAUACAUUCAAAACAAAAAGAGAGGUUUCAUCAGCAAAGAGUUUGACAUUAGAGUGAAGGUGACCUUCUAUGUCAUUAAUAUACUUGAAAUAAAGGUCCUAGUACUGAGCCUUGGGGUACUUAGGGUUGCACGAAAUGUUCGCAUAUUUGACUUGUAACUAUCAGUUAAUAAUUACAAGUUCCAUACCUUUUAAUUUGUCAGUUAUUCCACUGUCAAACCCUGUCAAACCCUGUCAAACGCUUUUACUGAUGUCACAAAAUACUAUCUUAGCCUCUUUACCUUUAUCAAGGUAUUGAAGCUUCGUCAUAAUACGAGAGUAAUAGAUUAACAGCUGAGUCUUUGGCAAUCAAGCCAGACUAAUUCUUUGAGAUUAUUUUAUUCUCAGAUAGAAAAUUAAAGAGAUAUGUAUUGGGGUUACGGGGUUACAUAAGCACACUACCCUUUAUAAAACAUGGAGGGAGUUAUAGGGACCAGCAGGCUGGAUCAUUGCCACCACUAUCUUCAAUUUGAGUGAAUAAAUUUGCUCAGCUUCUCCCAUAAGCCUAUAAUUUACCAAGUUAUUUUCCAGGCUACAAUUGUAUUGGCAUUUUUGUCCUUGCAUGUUGAGGAUUUCUUUUUUCUUAUGUGUAAUUAAAUGUCAUUAUUCAUCCAGACUUUAUCGUUUGGGUGAAUACUAUCACCUAUAUUUAGUACAUAUUUUUCAAUACAAUUAUGAUUUUCGCUUGAAAGAAUAUCAGUCAUAGUUUCUAGAUCAAAACUUUCAUCCAGCAAGUUAUCCCAAUCGGUGUUGAAUAGAUGUUUCACUGAAAUACAUAAAAAAAUAUAUCAUAUUAAGAGUUUUGAAGGAUCUAUUUACUAAUUGGACAGCAGUCAAUACAAAUUAUAUUGAUACAUGGAUUAUUUACUAUAUAAGUAUUAUUAGUCAUAAUUAUACCAAAAGAUGAAGAGAAGAAGAGGUAGGAGUAAUUCUUGUAGGUUCAUAUAUAAUAUUGGUUAUACCAAAAUUAGUCAUCUGCAAGACAAACAUACUGUGUGGUCAGACAAACAAAACGACAUUCUUGCUAGUAAGUGCUAGCGAACAGGUGUCUUCACGUAAGGACCGUAUACAUAUCGUGUAGCCUUGAAUCAAUUACUCUGUUACCAUUUACUAGAUAUGCAUUUUAGAAAAGAAACAGAAUUAUAUAAUAAAUAUUCUCAUUUACAAUACCAGCCCUAAUGCAAUAAAAUGUCUUACUUCACAAACAAAUUAUAUUCGAGAAUAUGUUUAAACGUUCAUGAAACACUUCCAGAGCAGCAUCUGGUUUCUCCAGUUUUUUUGGAUUCUGGUUUUUCCUUUUCUUCAUAUUAGGGUUGUCAACAUGUUUGCGUGUGUAAUCGAGGAAUAUAUAUAACGAGGAUGAGAAAAUAAAGGACAAAAACAAUUAAUGGAGGCAGCUGUGGUUCAAUAUAUGCGAAUCCUGAAGUAUAUUAUUAUAUCCAACCAUAAUAUACGUUUACCAAAUAAAACAUGUUUGAAUGGGUUUCCGUGUCUACUUAGAAUCUAUACGGUAACAUGAUAAUAUAUAGUAACUUAAAGCAGGGAUUUUGUGAGCCCAAACAUUUAGCCAGUGAUGACUCGUUAUUACUUCCUAACAAGCCGAUUUCACAGCCAAUGUCAUGAUAGUAACAUCCCUGCUUCCCCUACCUAAGGUGUUUACAUGUCACAGUUGAUUGGGCAUUCAAGAGCUUGCUUCGACCUCUGUUAUAGAUACGACUGAUUAUGGACAAACUUACAACACAUGAUUUCCAAAUAUGUAGGUUGAUGAAGUCUAUAGCCAUGAUGAAGCAGAAGACGAGUACCCUGCCUGAACACCUGGUCUUAUUCUUCUUGCACGUUUUCAAACGUCUCCAUCACAAAUCUUCCCCUGUCAUUGCCCUAGUUUCCUCAACUUUGAGUAACAAAUUAUGUCUUUUAACCCCUGCAGCCAUUAGUAAUGCUAAACCAGUUUAAUGUCGAUGUAUGUGUAUGUGCACGCGUGUACCUUCAUUCAACAACCUUAUUAGUCCAAGACCAGUCACACAUGACUCACUUGUUCACACUUCCAAUGGAAGGCUACUGGAAAAGUAUUGAACGCAUUUUUCUUUUUACAAUUACUAUACAAUGAGUUGAAACCAUAGUAGAUUUUCAUUUAAUCACAUUUUAUUGACAAGAUUGCAUAGUCAAUUGUAUAGAAU